UUUUUUCCAGGUGUAUAUAUAUAUAUAUAUUGGUAUCAUUAUAAAAAUUUCUCCAACUUGUAUGAUUUACAUAGUCAUUAUUUUAUAGGUUUUUUCUUGUUUUGAUGAUUCAUUUAAUAAUAGUAGUAAUAACUGGUAACUUGCAUAUAAUUGCAGUUUUCAGUAAGAUAAACUAGUAAAUGGAAAGAGAAAUACUACUUAGCAAGGUUUUCCAGUAACAUAGUUUCAUUUAAUUUAAUAACUUCUUGACUUUAACAAACCUAAAAAUGUGUUUUUUUUUAUGUGUAGAAAUUCUGUGUUUGAAUUUAUAUUUUUUUUAUUUUUAUUCUCAGAUGGAUAGAUGGUUUUUCAAUAUUUGAAGUUGGUGGGGAUGGCCUAGUGCAUAAACAUAUAUGUGAAAAGAUGAUGCCAGAUGAUAAUCGAGAAGUGAACACUAAAGGAUCCAAUGUUGCUGUGAAGUUAGCGAUGAUGGUAGGACUCUCACCUACCCAUAAGAAUUUUGCUGGUUUUCUUCCACCAACAGAUAUAUCUAGUGGUACUAUUUAACAUUGGAAUAUAGUGCUCUUUAAAAACUUUGUGACAUUAAAUGAGAAGUUUUAAAAAUGAGUAUCUUGUAGUUAGUGGUGAAAAUUUAUUGCCUUGUACAGAGAUUGAUGAAGUAGCAAAGCUUCAUAAAGUAAAGAUUCUCUCUCACUAUAUAUAGUAUAGGAAGAUCGCUUUAAUAACAUUACCCUUCUGAUCAGUUCAACUGAGUAUUUCAAUAUUUGCAUUCUUACAAGAAAAGUCGAUGCUGAGCCUUAGUGAUAAGUGCUUGCAUUAGAAAGCUUUGUGUUUAAAAUAUUUACUUAUUCAUAUUCAAAGAAAAUAUUUGAAGCUGACAAGAAGUGAAUUACUUAUCUUUAAAGCACAAUCUAAACUUAGCAGUAUAGCUAGCAGCGAUUGAUAGUGUUAAUACAUUUAAAAACAAGCUCUGAUAUGAUUGAAAUUGGGAUAUUUUCACUGUUCAUCUGUACCAUAGAGAUAUCCACAAUAGAGUUUAAAGUAUCAAUACAACUUUUAGUCUCAUAAUAGGGCGAGACCAAUGUUUUAACACUAUAAUCAAUAUAUAAUUAACAAAGCUGAUUACAUGUGUGAUACUGAGUAACUCAUCCAGGAUUAACUACUUAUAUCAAAAAUACUGAACUGGUAUCUAUGAUUUAAGAGCAAGUUGUAGGAUGUAUUGAUUGAUUUUUAAUUUUACUGGUCAAAUGUAUAGUUGAUGUAUUGUAAACUUGACUAUUAAAGUAGAUGUUAUUUUACUGCAAUGAACAGGUAAGGUUGCUCCAACAAUCCAAAAUUUACAAUUUAAUUUCACCCUACCAAUGAAAAUGUAAAGGCUCUCUACUAUUUUGGCCAUAUUAAAAUGUAUAAAGCAUAUAGGACUAAAUUAAAAGUUGGUUAAUCAUAGAAA